UACGGAGGGGACUAGCGUUGUUCGGAAUUACUGGGCGUAAAGCGCACGUAGGCGGAUUUGUAAGUCAGGGGUGAAAUCCCGAGGCUCAACCUCGGAACUGCCUUUGAUACUGCAAAUCUCGAGUCCGGAAGAGGUGAGUGGAAUUCCUAGUGUAGAGGUGAAAUUCGUAGAUAUUAGGAAGAACACCAGUGGCGAAGGCGGCUCACUGGUCCGGUACUGACGCUGAGGUGCGAAAGCGUAGGGAGCAAACAGG
rnacentral:rRNA from 1 species